rnacentral:tRNA from 1 species
GAGGGUAUAGCUCAGUGGAAGAGCAUGUGCUUAGCAUGCAAGAGAUCCUGGGUUCAAUAGCCAGUACCCCUA